GACGAACGCUGGCGGCGUGCUUAACACAUGCAAGUCGAACGGAAAGGCCCUGCUUUUGUGGGGUGCUCGAGUGGCGAACGGGUGAGUAACACGUGAGUAACCUGCCCUUGACUUUGGGAUAACUUCAGGAAACUGGGGCUAAUACCGGAUAGGAGCUCCUGCUGCAUGGUGGGGGUUGGAAAGUUUCGGCGGUUGGGGAUGGACUCGCGGCUUAUCAGCUUGUUGGUGGGGUCGUGGCUUACCAAGGCUUUGACGGGUAGCCGGCCUGAGAGGGUGACCGGCCACAAUGGGACUGAGAUACGGCCCAGACUCCUACGGGAGGCAGCAGUGGUGAAGAUUGCACAAUGGGCGGAAGCCUGAUGCAGCAACGCCGCGUGCGGGAUGACGGCCUUCGGGUUGUAAACCGCUUUCGCCUGUGACGAAGCGUGAGUGACGGUAAUGGGUAAAGAAGCACCGGCUAACUACGUG
rnacentral:rRNA from 1 species